rnacentral:tRNA from 1 species
GGGUCGGUAGCUCAAUUGGGAGAGCACAUGGUUCGCAAUCAUGAGGUUGGGGGUUCGAUCCCCCUCCGAUCCA